AUUGGAUCCAUGCAGGUCUUGGAGGGUGGUGGCUCACUCUUUCUGGGCCAAGUAGAGGGUGGCUCAGACACCCCCCUUCCUCCAGGCUUCUCAUCUGUAACUGGUGAAGCCCGGAAGAGCUUGUUGUUCAAGAGGAAAUCUUGUGUUACUUCUUUAUGAAGGACUCCAGCCUGGUGGAGAUGAAUGAGUCCUGAAGAUGGAAUCGAAGCUGUUUGGGCACAAUACUUUAAUCAGCAUUUAAUGACCCAGUCGAAAAUUCAUUGUUUGGACCCAAGCACUGGUGGGAAAGGCAGGAGGGGAGGCCUGCCUUCCUUCCUCCCUCCCGAGCCCUACAGCAGGCCAUGGAGUGGUGAGCGAGUUCGUACAGUGCCAACCACAUUCCCAGAAACUUCCAGCAGAGGUUAAUCCUGCUUCUCUCAGGAAAAAGUGAUUCAGCUCCGGUCCACCCUGGGUGCAGCGGUCCUUCUGCCAAGAUGCCUUCAUAUCAUACAGCUAUUAUUUUCGGGAGGAUUCCAAGUGAGGGCAGUCAGGGUGGGCUUGGCCCAUUCUCUAGACUUUGGAAGGUAAUGUUCUAUAGAGGCCUGUUCUGAAGCUUUACCA
rnacentral:lncRNA from 1 species